UACGAAGGGUGCAAGCGUUACUCGGAAUUACUGGGCGUAAAGCGUGCGUAGGCGGUUUGUUAAGUCUGUCGUGAAAGCCCCGGGCUCAACCUGGGAAUGGCGAUGGAAACUGGCGAGCUAGAGUACGGUAGAGGAGAGUGGAAUUCCCGGUGUAGCAGUGAAAUGCGUAGAGAUCGGGAGGAACAUCAGUUGCGAAGGCGGCUCUCUGGGCCAGUACUGACGCUGAGGCACGAAAGCGUGGGGAGCAAACAGG
rnacentral:rRNA from 1 species